ACUCCUACGGGAGGCAGCAGUGGGAAUCUUGGACAAUGGGGGCACCCGUAGCAUCCAGCCAUGCCGCGUGAGUGAUGAAGGCCCUAGGGUCGUAAAGCUCUUUCGCCUGUGAAGAUAAUGACUGUAGCAGGUAAAGAACCCGCUAAUCCGUGCCAGCAGCCGCGGUAAUACGGAGGGGGUUAGCGUUGUUCGGAAUUACUGGGCGUAAAGCGCGCGUAGGCGGACUGGAAAGUUGGGGUGG
rnacentral:rRNA from 1 species